AACAGAAAAUACACACACUUAAAAAGUUAUCCAGUCCCGGGAUGACAAUUCAGAACAUUACAUUUGGGUUCUCAUAGGCAGGGGCUGGGGUAAACUACUUUUAGGAAGCCACAGUCAAUUUUGGUCAAGAGAUGGAUGUUGUUGUUAAUUAUAAGAUGACCUCAAUAAAACUGGCCCUGGACAAAUACAGUAUUAGGUUAUUAAGUGUAGUUACAACGGAAUUUUACGAACAAUCACGUUUUUAAGAGGCAAAGGGCAGUCGUGAUUUCACAGCCUCAUCGACAUUACACAAAAAUAUCGAAAUCAGCUCGAGAACUAAGAGGCCUCUAACCUGAAUUCAUCCCCACUUGUGAUAAAACAAAUCUGCCAAUCUAUAAGUAAAAUACAGGGACACUUUACUACCCUGAAAAUCAGGACGAGAUCCCGCCAGACCGGGCGGACGUUUUCGGAAACAUCUCCGCUUGGCGUCCCGGGCGCACUUCUACCGGGGACACUCCUGGUUGCGGCGCUCUCGAGAUACUGUAGCGUCGCCCUUACGCCUGUCGACGUGACUCCCUUUCCUAUGGAUACACAGAAUGACCCUUGGCGCAAAAUUCACCCACAGUCCCUCCCCGAGUCUGCAACCAAUAAAAAACAACUACUCUUUCUUCAGGUCUUAAAAAACGCAAGCCAACCGGGGUCACCGCGCUAGUCUCACCCACCACCCCGGAAGUACAAGCAACAGAGCUUCAACAAGAGAAUGAGCGUAGAGGAGGCGCCAAAAUAAAUCCCACUCUCGCGAUAUCUUAAACACAAGUCUCGCAACAUCCUUCUGCUUCUCCUUGUUUUUCAGCCCCAUCCCCACACCAGUUCGUUGCUUCAAAACAUCGCGAGAUUUUCUCCUUUCAAUCUCCGCCCCUUUACGGCACGAUGGUCGCACAAGAAUGUGAUACAGGCUCGACGGCCGCCAUUUUCUUUCUUUCUUAGCAGUUGGCUGAGGGAAGGUCUCUGCGAAGAAGCGGCAGCGGCCACUAUAGCGUAGACAUGGCAGACUACUCAACGGUGCCUCCACCUUCUUCUGGCUCAGCUGGUGGUGGAGGCGGCGGCGGUGGUGGUGGAGGAGUUAACGAUGCUUUCAAAGAUGCGCUGCAGAGAGCACGGCAGAUUGCAGCAAAAAUUGGAGGUGAUGCUGGUACAUCACUGAAUUCAAAUGACUAUGGUUAUGGGGGACAAAAAAGACCUUUGGAAGAUGGAGAUGGCUCUUGGACAAGUCCGAGCAGUACAACACACUGGGAGGGAAUGCCCUCUCCUUUUAAAGAUCAACCAGAUGCUAAGAAAGUUGCUCCUCAAAAUGACUCUUUUGGAACACAGUUACCACCGAUGCAUCAGCAGCAAAGGUCUGUAAUGACAGAAGAAUACAAAGUUCCAGAUGGAAUGGUUGGAUUUAUAAUUGGCAGAGGUGGUGAACAGAUCUCACGCAUACAACAAGAAUCUGGAUGCAAAAUACAGAUAGCUCCUGACAGUGGUGGCCUUCCAGAAAGGUCUUGUAUGCUAACUGGAACACCUGAAUCUGUCCAAUCAGCAAAACGGUUAUUGGACCAGAUUGUUGAAAAAGGAAGACCAGCCCCCGGCUUCCACCAUGGUGAUGGACCAGGAAAUGCAGUUCAAGAAAUCAUGAUUCCAGCUAGCAAGGCAGGAUUAGUUAUUGGAAAGGGGGGAGAAACUAUUAAACAACUUCAGGAGCGGGCUGGAGUUAAAAUGGUUAUGAUUCAAGAUGGACCUCAGAACACUGGUGCUGACAAACCUCUUAGGAUUACAGGAGACCCAUACAAAGUUCAGCAAGCCAAGGAAAUGGUGUUAGAGUUAAUUCGUGAUCAAGGUGGUUUCAGAGAAGUUCGAAAUGAGUAUGGGUCAAGAAUAGGAGGAAAUGAAGGGAUAGAUGUCCCCAUUCCAAGAUUUGCUGUUGGCAUUGUAAUAGGAAGAAAUGGAGAGAUGAUAAAAAAAAUACAAAAUGAUGCUGGUGUUCGAAUUCAGUUUAAGCCAGAUGAUGGAACAACACCUGAUAGAAUAGCACAAAUAACAGGACCUCCAGACCGAUGUCAACAUGCUGCAGAAAUUAUUACAGACCUUCUUCGAAGUGUUCAGGCUGGUAAUCCUGGUGGACCUGGACCUGGUGGUCGAGGAAGAGGUAGAGGUCAAGGCAACUGGAACAUGGGACCACCUGGUGGACUACAGGAAUUUAAUUUCAUUGUACCAACUGGGAAAACUGGAUUAAUAAUAGGAAAAGGAGGUGAAACCAUAAAAAGCAUAAGCCAGCAGUCUGGUGCAAGAAUAGAACUUCAGAGAAAUCCUCCACCUAAUGCAGAUCCUAAUAUGAAACUAUUUACAAUUCGUGGCACUCCACAGCAAAUAGACUAUGCGCGGCAACUUAUAGAAGAAAAGAUUGGUGGCCCAGUAAAUCCUUUAGGGCCACCUGUACCCCAUGGGCCCCAUGGUGUCCCAGGUCCCCAUGGGCCUCCUGGGCCUCCAGGGCCUGGAACUCCAAUGGGACCAUACAACCCUGCACCUUAUAAUCCAGGACCACCCGGCCCUGCACCUCAUGGUCCUCCAGCUCCUUAUGCUCCCCAGGGGUGGGGAAAUGCAUAUCCACACUGGCAGCAACAGGCCCCUCCUGAUCCAGCUAAGGCAGGAACGGAUCCAAAUUCAGCAGCUUGGGCUGCCUAUUAUGCUCACUAUUAUCAACAGCAAGCACAGCCACCACCUGCAGCUCCUGCUGGUGCACCAACUACAACCCAGACCAAUGGACAAGGAGAUCAGCAGAAUCCAGCUCCAGCUGGACAGGUUGAUUAUACCAAGGCUUGGGAAGAGUAUUACAAGAAAAUGGGUCAACAAGGGCAGACACAAGAUUAUUCAAAAGCUUGGGAGGAAUAUUACAAGAAGCAAGGUCAAGCAGUUCCUGCUCCUACUGGUGCUCCACCAGGUGGUCAGCCAGAUUAUAGUGCAGCCUGGGCCGAGUACUAUAGACAACAAGCAGCCUACUAUGCCCAGACAAGUCCCCAGGGAAUGCCACAGCAUCCUCCAGCACCUCAGGGCCAAUAAUAAGAAGUGGACAAUACAGUAUUUGCUUCAUUGUGUGGGGGAAAAAAACCUUUGUUAAAUAUAUGGAUGCAGACGACUUGAUGAAGAUCUUAAUUUGUUUUUGGUUUAAAAUAGUGGUUUUUUUUUUUUUUUUUGAAAAUGUACAAAAUAUCUAUCACUACUGAUAGGAGGUUAAUAUUUCUGUGUAGAAAUGAAAAUUGGUUUGUUUUUAGUAUUUAGUGUAGAUGUACACAUUCCAGCAAAUGUAUUUGCAACUAUUAUGUGGUCAAUGCUUUGUGAUAUAAAUGUACUUUUUCAAUGUAUACUUUCACUUUUAAAAUGCCUGUUUUGUGCUUUACAAUAAAUGAUAUGAAACCUCCUGUGUCGGUAAGUUGGAUAUGUGGGUAUUUAAAGGAUUCAUAAUUUCUUAGCAAUGAUAAAUUAAGAUACAUAUACACAAAUAUAAGCUUUCCCCAUGAAAUAUUAAUUGAGUUUUUAAACACUGGCAUGUUUUUUCCCCCUUGCAGUAUAGUAGUAGAUUGGAGGAUCUUUUCCAUUUAUUGUAUUUGGCUGUUUCAGCACAAGUAAUCCUGAUAUCUUCAUUUUUUUUUCCUUCUGUUUGAUUAAAACCUGCAUGUGUGUACAGUGAUCUUUUGGCAUACUUCCAUUGCAUUAACAGUGAAAUUUCCUUUUAUACAUGACCACUGUUUCAGAUCUGUACUGCUGCUAUAACAGUUAACCUUUCUGUUCUUAAUUUAAUAAUUACUUGAUUUCCAAGACUAUUUCAGCAUAACUAAUUUUUAAACAGUUUUCGGAUAGUGAAUAUGAGUAGUUGAUUAAGAAGUUUUUUCAUGUAAAGAAACUUUCAAUGUAUACAAUAUUAGUGUGUUUCUUUUUAAAUUUAGGGUAGAAAAGUGAAUAGUAUGCAAAAAGUAUAGCUACAGUGCAUCUGCCAUUGAAACAUUAUUGGGGUAUGGAAAUGUUCAAGCUUUUUUUUUUUUUUUUUUCUUUUUGCAGUAUAGAUAAGCUUUGUUCUGUAAAUGCACAAGUCCAAUCAUUGAAUCAACUUAAUUUUUUAUGUACUUGAAAUCACUUUAUUACUCUAUAACACUCAUGCUGAAGUUCUGAUACUUUGUUGAAAUCCAUUGUUUACUCUUUGCAUAUUUGUUGGCUCUUUGCAUAUUAAUAUAUUAGACUACAUGCAAAUACAGUCUGUCUUGCCAUUGUCUGUUGAAGUGCAGGUUUGAUCCAGCCAGUAUAGAACUAGCUCUGUAGGGGUGAGGAGGACUGUGCUGUGUAUCAUCCUUGAUUGUGUUCCUUCAAGGAGCAUUGCACUUGCCUUCCCAGACCUUCCACCUUAGGUUCUGCUGCAAAAAGCAACAGUGCUGAAGAUGCUGCAAGCACCAAAUCAUAGCUCAUAAAAUCAGGUCCUGAGAUAGUUACCCAUAAAGAGGAAUCCUUUGAGUGUAUGCCAUUGGUGAGCCGAUGAGCAUGGACCAUAGAAGGGCUCAAUGUAGAAGGUAAAAUUGGCAAAUCAUAAUUGAGAAAUAUGAAAUGUAUUCCCAUACAUAAUAUGGUAUAGGGUGUAAUGUACCUGCUUUUGAUCACUUUUCAUUUUAAAGUGCUAUUCGCUUGAUCUUGAAUGUUCCAUGAACUGUUAAAUUUUGUAAGUUAUAUAGUUACUGCACCACAUUUAUGUGUGUGUAUGUAUUGUUUUAAUAGUCAAUGAUAGGUAUGUUAAGACUGAUAAUACAAAGGAGCUCUUUGAACCUUAAGAGCCUGUCAAGUUUUGGUUAGUUGUAGUUUGCAUUUUUAUAAAAUAUAGAUGAAUGCUAAUAGAUAUUGGGGCAUUGUUUCUAUCUCGAGUUUUUUUUAUUCAUUACCAUAAGCCUUCACUGAUACUGCAUUUUUUUAAAUGGCGCUAAUCUUAACCUUGAAAUAAAUGGAAAGCAGAAAAGGUGAGCCAGUUGACUUGAAUGCAAUGGAUGUUAGGAGUGGUAGAAACAAUGUUUAGAUUGAAAUUGAACUGAUUUAUUUUAUUUAGCACUUAAAAAACUUGACAAUGUGUUUCAUUUUUUAAUGAUAUUUUAGAGUGGUGUUAUGUAGAAUUCUUAUGGUUUGAUGUUUCUUUUAGAAAUGAAAAGUAUACUUUUAUUUUUAACUAAUGAAAAUGGUUUUAAUACUAAAACUAAUGAUUUGAUACUAGUUGUUUAUAAACAUUAUAAAAUAUUUCCUUAGACAAAUACCUUGGUAGUUAAUUCAUAAGGGUGGGUUUGGGUAGGAGUGGCAGAGUACCUUAAGAGGGAAAUAGGAAUAUAUGCAGAAGUGAUAACAUUUGUUUGAAUACUCUGCCAGGAGAACCAGCUCUAUCUGCAAACAUCUGUUGUCUAGAAUAAGGAUGUAGAAAUGAUCAAUGAGGAUGUCUUUUUAUUUUCUGAAAAUUCUGCCUCAUUUUAAAAUUAUUUUAACAAUACUAAAGAUAAUUUUGACUCUGAAAAUAACCUUAUUUUUUGUUUAGUCACUUGAGUUUUCUUGCCACAGUAUAAAUUUCUGAGGGAUUUUUUAAAUUGGUGCUUUUAAGAAGCAAAUCCCGAGGUUUUAUUUUCUUCAAUGAUAGCCCUAUAGAAACUCUUAAAUGUAUUUGCGCAUAUAUAUAUAUAUAUUUUUUCUUAUGCAUGCUCGAUGCAUUUUCGUCCUGAGAAAAGUGUUCUCUACAGAAACUACCCGUGUGUAAAAAGAAGAUUGGCUUAAAAUGGCUACUGUGAUGGGAACAGUGUCUUAGGGAGAUGCAGCUUGGACUUGAGGUAAAUUGAAUACUUUACAAACUGUGGUUUAGAGUUUGCUUUAAUGACAUUGUAUGUAAAAGGGCACAUGAUUGCUGUAAUUUUGUAUUGAUUAUGGUUUCCUCAAUAAAAAAAAUAAAUGUACAUUGAUCAAUA